GACGAACGCUGGCGGCGUGCCUAAUACAUGCAAGUAGAACGCUGAAGAGAGGAGCUUGCUCCUCUUGGAUGAGUUGCGAACGGGUGAGUAACGCGUAGGUACCUGCCUUGUAGCGGGGGAUAACUAUUGGAAACGAUAGCUAAUACCGCAUAACAAUGGAUGACACAUGUCAUUUAUUUGAAAGGGGCAAUUGCUCCACUACAAGAUGGACCUGCGUUGUAUUAGCUAGUAGGUGAGGUAAUGGCUCACCUAGGCGACGAUACAUAGCCGACCUGAGAGGGUGAUCGGCCACACUGGGACUGAGACACGGCCCAGACUCCUACGGGAGGCAGCAGUAGGGAAUCUUCGGCAAUGGGGGCAACCCUGACCGAGCAACGCCGCGUGAGUGAAGAAGGUUUUCGGAUCGUAAAGCUCUGUUGUAAGUCAAGAACGGGUGUGAGAGUGGAAAGUUCACACUGUGACGGUAGCUUACCAGAAAGGGACGGCUAACUACGUG
rnacentral:rRNA from 1 species